rnacentral:rRNA from 1 species
CCUACGGGGGGCAGCAGUGAGGAAUAUUGGUCAAUGGGCUUACGCCUGAACCAGCCAAGUCGCGUGAGGGAAGACUGCCCUAUGGGUUGUAAACCUCUUUUGUCAGGGAGCAACGCCGGCUACGUGUAGCCGGACUGAGAGUACCUGACGAAAAAGCAUCGGCUAACUCCGUGCCAGCAGCCGCGGUAAUACGGAGGAUGCGAGCGUUAUCCGGAUUUAGUGGGUUUAAAGGGUGCGUAGGCGGAAUGCCAAGUCAGCGGUAAAAUCGCGGGGCUCAACCUCGCGCCGCCGUUGAAACUGGCGUUCUUGAGUGGGCGAGAGGUAUGCGGAAUGCGUGGUGUAGCGGUGAAAUGCAUAGAUAUCACGCAGAACUCCGAUUGCGAAGGCAGCAUGCCGGCGCCCAACUGACGCUGAAGCACGAAAGCGUGGGUAUCGAACAGGAUUAGAUACCCCAGUAGUC